CGGAAGAAUUCCAUGAAAUGAACACGGAGCGCCGAAAAUUCUGUGAUGGGCCCUCGGAAGAAUUCCGUUAAAUAAACAUGGCCCCUUAAGUUAAGGAAAAGGUCAUGGGUGGGCUUACGCUUCCUUGACACGCGAGAAGAACGGGGCGGUUGGGUUCAGGAAAAGAAGAAAGCGACUUUAGGAAACGUGACAUGUGGGACAUGAACCCCGGUCUCCUGGGUGAAAGUCCUGUGUUUGACCCAUCCACCACCCCAACCAACCUCCUUAUGUGGAAUUUCGGCC